GAGGUUGUGGCUCAGCGGUAGAGCACUUACCUAGCACACAUGAGGCCCUGGGUUCACUCCUCAGCACCACA
rnacentral:tRNA from 1 species